AUUGAACGCUGGCGGCAGGCUUAACACAUGCAAGUCGAGCGGGGAUAGGGUGCUUGCACCUGAUUCCUAGCGGCGGACGGGUGAGUAAUGCUUAGGAAUCUGCCUAUUAGUGGGGGACAACAUUCCGAAAGGGAUGCUAAUACCGCAUACGCCCUACGGGGGAAAGAAGGGGAUCUUCGGACCUUGCGCUAAUAGAUGAGCCUAAGUCGGAUUAGCUAGUUGGUGGGGUAAAGGCCUACCAAGGCGACGAUCUGUAGCGGGUCUGAGAGGAUGAGCCGCCACACUGGGACUUAGACACGGCCCAGACUCCUACGGGAGGCAGCAGUGGGGAAUAUUGGACAAUGGGGGGAACCCUGAUCCAGCCAUGCCGCGUGUGUGAAGAAGGCCUUUUGGUUGUAAAGCACUUUAAGCGAGGAGGAGGCGCUCUAGGUUAAUACCCUAGAUGCGUGGACGUUACUCGCAGAAUAAGCACCGGCUAACUCUGUGCCAGCCGCCGCUGUAACAC
rnacentral:rRNA from 1 species